AGGAGUUGCCUGAUAGGUUGGAGAAAGCACAAGGAAGCCAGGGCUGCUGGAACAGAGUGAAUGAGGCGAUCAUGUAGAGUCUUAUAAGCCAUUGCAAAGACUUUGGCUUUGACUUUGAGGUAGAUGAGAAGCUAUUAAGAAAGUUUGAGCAGAAGGAUGACAUGAUCUGAUUUUUCAUUUUAACCAAAGCAACUCUGUAUGCUGUGUUGAAAAUAAGCUACAAUGGGACUUGCAUUGCAGGAAAACCAGUUAGGAGGCUGCUGUAAUAAUCCAGGUGAGAGAUGAUGGUGGCUCGGACCAUGGUGGUAGUAAGGGAGGUGCUGAGAAGAGGUUAGAAUCUAGUUAUAUUUUGGAGGAGAUUGAACAGAAUUUACUGAUAAAUUGGAUGUGAAGUAUUUGAGAAAGGGAGGAAUCAAAGGUGACACCAAGGUUCUGGGCCUGAGCAACUGGAAGAAUGGAGAUGCAGUUUACUAACAUAGUGAGGACUACAGGAGUAGCAGGUUUCAGCAGUGGGCACAGGUGGAGAAGCUGACGUUAUGCUGCCAACAUGAUGCUGUUGAUCACAGAGUUGGAAAGAGUUGCUACCAAUUGGUCCCUGUGAACGAGUGUGAGCUGUCUCCAUCACACCACUGCAGGAAACGAUGACAAACAACAAAAACAAAAAGAGUAUCCAGUGGAGGACUCUGAGGCCCUAGAGGAUGAUGAAGCCAGUAAAUGCAAGGAAGCUGGAUUCCUGAGUCCCCAUUUGGAGGAGAGCUGCCCUGGAGAGCUGCCAGGACCAUGUGAAUUAGACUUUGCACAAAGGAGAAAUAAGCUUUUACUGUGUUAAGUCACUGAGAUUUGGAGAUUAUUUGUUAUAGCUACAGCUGUUAGCCUACCCUGACUAACACAGUGAUCUUUGAGGACCUCCUUACUUACCAUAGCGACUUGUACAUAGGGGGGUACUUAGUAAAUGUUUGUUGAUUAAGUUAAUUUUGUCCUAUUUUAAUCUGUCUUUAUUCAUAAUUGUCAGACGGUAAUGUUUUUAGGCAUAGGACUGAGGUUUCAACUCAAGUCCCAACCCUUGUUUUAUGAAACAUUAGAGAGUUCUAAUAAUCUUAGAUGACCUUAGUAUUUUCAAAAUAAAAUUGGUUUUAAUUACUGUUUUAAAAAAUAUGCCCUAUAAUACCUUUAGGACCAAGGUGGGUGGGAUUGGAAAUAGGGUACCCUAUUGCCCAAAAGAUUGGGAGUUUCUGCCUUAGAAUAUGGAUAUGAAUUCAAUGUUUUCACAAUGUUUCAAAGACCUUAAAUGAUUUAGACUCUACUCUAGACUAGACCAUCCUUCUGCUUCCAGAAGGAACUGUUUUUUACCCUCAUAGACACAAUAGCUGUUUAUACCUUAUAAAAUAACAACAGCAAGCCUCCCGAGGUGCGGUUUCCCUUAGGUAUUGUAUUCUAGGGUCUUAGAACUUUCAUAUUCCGGAAACUCUUCUUUGGGGAGGAUCAAAUAAAAUAUUAUAUGUUAAAGGCCUUUGAAAACAUUAAAGUGC
rnacentral:lncRNA from 1 species